AAGUCGUAACAAGGUUUCCGUAGGUGAACCUGCGGAAGGAUCAUUACCAAAUCCAAAUUCAACCACUUGUGAACAUGUCUUGUAUUGUCUUUUGGGAGGUUUUUCUGUGAGAAAAAACUUGAAAAGGUUUUUUCAAAUGGAGAGCCUCCCAUUGGGCGCGUGCGCAUUGUUGAAAAGCAAUGCCACAACCAAUGAAACCACAAUUCAAAAUUAUCAUUUGGUUUUUAAUUUUAAAAAUAAAAUGACAACUUUUAACGGUGGAUCUCUUGGCUCAU
rnacentral:misc_RNA from 1 species